AUAUCAGUCAUGCAUAGCAUAUCAAUAAGCGGAGGAAAAGAAACUAACAAGGAUUCCCUUAGUAACGGCGAGUGAAGCGGGAAGAGCUCAAAUUUGAAAUCUUCAAGGUUUUACCUUGACGAAUUGUAGUUUAAAGAAGUGUUUUCUGUUGAAGUUUUGGUAAAAGUUCUUUGGAAUAGGACAUCAUAGAGGGUGAGAAUCCCGUAUUUGACCAUUACUUUCAGCUUUGUGAUACACUUUCAAAGAGUCGGAUUGUUUGGGAAUGCAGUCCAAAAUGGGUGGUAAAUUUCAUCUAAAGCUAAAUAUUGGCGAGAGACCGAUAGCGAACAAGUACCGUGAGGGAAAGAUGAAAAGAACUUUGAAAAGAGAGUUAAACAGUACGUGAAAUUGUCAAAAGGGAAGCGUUUGACACCAGUGUUGUUUUCUCGAAAAUCAAUUAAAAAGAGUUGGAUUUUGUGUUGUAUUGACUUUAUCAGCUUUCUUCACUCUUUUCCAGCUUUUUUUAAUGCACUUUUCGUUUAACAAGUCAACAUCAGUUUCUUUUGUUGUAAAAAGGUCAUUGGAAGGUGGCUUUCUCUUCGGAGAAAGUGUUUAUAGCCUUUGACUCAUGCAAUCGGAGAGACUGAGGUCUGCAGCGUAGAUCCUUCGGGGUUAGAUACAUUUGUGCUAAGUUAUAGCUUUUCAUAGACAACUUGUUGACUAUGUUUAGUCUUGUAGCUUACUCGCUUAUGCCUAUUUUACCUACGCUUAGGAUGUUGAACUCUAUCACACACAG
rnacentral:rRNA from 1 species